rnacentral:rRNA from 1 species
UACGGAGGGUGCAAACGUUGCUCGGAAUCAUUGGGCGUAAAGCGCACGUAGGCGGCUUGUUAAGUCGGAUGUGAAAGCCCUGGGCUCAACCCAGGAAGUGCAUUCGAAACUGGCAAGCUUGAAUAUGGAAGAGGGUCGCGGAAUUCCCGGUGUAGAGGUGAAAUUCGUAGAUAUCGGGAGGAACACCAGUGGCGAAGGCGGCGACCUGGGCCAAUAUUGACGCUGAGGUGCGAAAGCGUGGGGAGCAAACAGG